rnacentral:rRNA from 1 species
GAUGAACGCUGGCGGCGUGCCUAAUACAUGCAAGUCGAGCGAACAGACGAGGAGCUUGCUCCUCUGACGUUAGCGGCGGACGGGUGAGUAACACGUGGAUAACCUACCUAUAAGACUGGGAUAACUUCGGGAAACCGGAGCUAAUACCGGAUAAUAUAUUGAACCGCAUGGUUCAAUAGUGAAAGACGGUUUUGCUGUCACUUAUAGAUGGAUCUGCGCCGCAUUAGCUAGUUGGUAAGGUAACGGCUUACCAAGGCGACGAUGCGUAGCCGACCUGAGAGGGUGAUCGGCCACACUGGAACUGAGACACGGUCCAGACUCCUACGGGAGGCAGCAGUAGGGAAUCUUCCGCAAUGGGCGAAAGCCUGACGGAGCAACGCCGCGCGAGUGAUGAAGGUCUUCGGAUCGUAAAACUCUGUUAUUAGGGAAGAACAAUUGUGUAAGUAACUAUGCACGUCUUGACGGUACCUAAUCAGAAAGCAACGGCUAACUACGUG